ACCCGCUGAAUUUAAGCAUAUAACUAAGCGGAGGAAAAGAAACUAACAAGGAUUCCCCUAGUAAGGGCGACUGAAGCGGGAUCAGCCCAGAUUGUAAACUGACCUUAAUCAAGGUUGGGUUGUAGUCUAAAGAGGCGACGCCAGGCAAGGUCCGGGGAGAAGUCCCUUGGAACAGGGCAUCGGAGAGGGUGACAAUCCCGUCUGUGCCUCGGACCGCGUCGUACGGUGCGUCUUCGACGAGUCGGUUUGCUUGGGAUUGCAGACCAAACGGGUGGUAAAUUCCAUCUAAGGCUAAAUACGGGUGGGAGACCGAUAGCGAACAAGUACCGUGAGGGAAAGAUGCAAAGAACUUUGAGAAGAGAGUUAAAAAGGGCCUGAAACUGGUAAGAGGGAACCGAACGGCAGAAGUGGUGAUGGGCGCGUAUUUUCCGCCGGGCUCUUGGCCGGCGUACUUGUGCGCGUCCGUAGGUCAGCGUGGGUUGGGGCGUGGGAGUCGUUCAUGGGAAGGUCUUCGGGCCAAUCUCGUGUUCAGGCCGCGCCUGAGACCUUCGGUGACGAAAUUCUUCCGUUCACCCCGUCUUGAAACACGGACCAAGGAGUCUAAAAUACGAGCGAGUGCGCCGGUGGCAACCCGGGGCGCGUAAUGAAAGUGAGACCGACGGUGGGAGGGCUUUACGUCCGCACCAUCAACCGACCAGGAUCCUUCGGGUGAAAGGUUUGAGUGUAGCUUGUAUUUUGGGACCCGAAAGAUGGUGAACUAUGCCUGAAUAGGGCGAAGCCAGGGGAAACUCUGGUGGAGGCUCGUAGCGAUUCUGACGUGCAAAUCGAUCGUCAAAUUUGGGUAUAGGGGCGAAAGACUAAUCGAACCAUCUGGUAGCUGGUUCCCUCCGAAAUUUCCCUCAGGAUAGCAGCAAUCGAAGAGUUUUAUCAGGUAAAGCGAAUGAUUAGAGGCCUCAGGGGUGGAACGUCCUUGACCUAUUCUCAAACUUUAAAUGGGUAAGAGCCAGGGGUUGCUUAAGUGAACCCCUCGGUCGAAUCGCGGUUGCUAGUGGGCCACCCGGGGUAAGCUCGGUUGGCGAUGCGGGAUGAUCCGAACGUCGAGUUAAAGUGCCUCACUGCCCGCUCACCUAGAUCCCACAAAAGGUGUUGGUUCAUUUAGACAGCAGGACGGUGGCCAUGGAAGUCGGAACCCGCUAAGGAGUGUGUAACAACUCACCUGCCGAAUGGAUUAGCCCUGAAAAUGGAUGGCGCUGAUGCGAGCGACUUAUACUCGACCAUCACGGCAAGUGCGACGCCGUGAUGAGUAGGAGGGCGUGGGGCUCGUGGCGCAUCCCGCGGCGUGAGCCGGGGUGAAACGGGCUCUAGUGCAGAUCUUGGUGGUAGUAGC
rnacentral:rRNA from 1 species